rnacentral:misc_RNA from 1 species
GCCCAAAGUCGGUUUAGCUAACUUCGGAAGCGACUGCCUAAGGCAGGAUUGGUGACUGGGGUGAAGUCGUAACAAGGUAUCCCUACGAGAACGUGGGGAUGGAUCACCUCCUUUCUACGGAGUACAAUUACAAUUUCAUUUUUGGCCUAAAAUCUUAAUACCUGAUAUUUAAAACUAAAUUAUUUAAAUAUCUCACGAGGGUACUAAGUCAGUGUGUUGGUGUAGCCAAAAGCACUCUAAUAUUCAGUUUUGAGGGAUUUACCUCAAAAAAAUAGAUCUUUGAAAACUGAAUAGCAUAUAAAUUAAUAUGAUAACGACAUCAAAAUAUAUUUUGUGAAAAUAAUUUUGAUCCGAGUUGUGUCUAUACAUGGGUAUAGACACUAUAAAUACCUUAAGAAUACAUCAAAACAAAAAAACAUUUUUUUAAUAGGAAAAAAUAGUUACUUAUACUUUUAAAUAAGCAAGAGUUUGUAGUGG